UACAGAGGUCUCAAGCAUUGUUCGGAAUUACUGGGCGUAAAGGGUGCGCAGGCCGCGCGGGCAGUCAAAUGUGUAAUUCAGGGGCUCAACCCCUGCACUGCGCUUGAUACUUCCGCGCUCGAGCUUUGGAAAGGAGUCUGGAAUUCUCGGUGUAGCAGUGAAAUGCGUGGAUAUCGAGAAGAACACUUAGGGCGAAGGCAAGACUCUGGACAAAUGCUGACGCUCAUGCACGAAGGCUAGGGUAGCGAACGGG
rnacentral:rRNA from 1 species